rnacentral:rRNA from 1 species
GACGUAGGUGGCGAACGUUGUCCGGAAUGAUUGGGCGUAAAGCGUCCGCAGGUGGCUAUGUAAGUCUGCUGUUAAAGAGUCUAGCUCAACUAGAUACAAGCAGUGGAAACUACAAGGCUAGAGUACGUUCGGGGCAGAGGGAAUUCCUGGUGUAGCGGUGAAAUGCGUAGAGAUCAGGAAGAACACCGGUGGCGAAGGCGCUCUGCUAGGCCGUAACUGACACUGAGGGACGAAAGCUAGGGGAGCGAAUGGG